ANGGUCAGACUCCUACGGGAGGCAGCAGUGGGGAAUAUUGGACAAUGGGCGAAAGCCUGAUCCAGCCAUGCCGCGUGUGUGAAGAAGGUCUUCGGAUUGUAAAGCACUUUAAGUUGGGAGGAAGGGCAGUAAGUUAAUACCUUGCUGUUUUGACGUUACCAACAGAAUAAGCACCGGCUAACUUCGUGCCAGCAGCCGCGGUAAUACGAAGGGUGCAAGCGUUAAUCGGAAUUACUGGGCGUAAAGCGCGCGUAGGUGGUUCAGCAAGUUGGAUGUGAAAUCCCCGGGCUCAACCUGGGAACUGCAUCCAAAACUACUGAGCUAGAGUACGGUAGAGGGUGGUGGAAUUUCCUGUGUAGCGGUGAAAUGCGUAGAUAUAGGAAGGAACACCAGUGGCGAAGGCGACCACCUGGACUGAUACUGACACUGAGGUGCGAAAGCGUGGGGAGCAAACAGGAUUAGAUACCCUGGUAGUCCACGCCGUAAACGAUGUCGACUAGCCGUUGGGAUCCUUGAGAUCUUAGUGGCGCAUCUAACGCGAUAAGUCGACCGCCUGGGGAGUACGGCCGCAAGGUUAAAACUCAAAUGAAUUGACGGGGGCCCGCACAAGCGGUGGAGCAUGUGGUUUAAUUAUAAGCAACGCGAAGAACCUUACCUGGUCUUGACAUGCUGAGAACUUUCCAUACAUGGAUUGGUGCCUUCCGGAACUCAAACACAGGUGCUGCAUGGAUGUCAUCAGCUCGUGAUUCGAUAUGUUACGUUAAGUCCCGUAACGAGUAACUUACUGGCCCUUCUCUACCCUCACCUCGCGUGGGCACUCUAAGAAGACUGUCAGUGACNAACCAUGNGAAGGUGGGGAUGACGUCAGUCAUCAUGGUCCUCACUGCUGCGUCUACACACGAGCUACAAUGGUCUGUACAAACGGUGCGAUCCNNGGGGGGGANAAAAAAAA
rnacentral:rRNA from 3 species